AACGUAGGUGGCAAGCGUUAUCCGGAAUUACUGGGCGUAAAGGGUGUGCAGGCGGGGAAGCAAGUGGUGUAUGAAAUCUCCCAGCUUAACUGGGAUAGGUUAUGCCAUACUGCUUUUCUAGAGGACGAGAGAGGGGGGUGGAAUUCCGGGUGUAGUGGUGAAAUGCGUAGAGAUCCGGAGGAACCCCAGAGGCGAAGGCGGCCCCCUGGGCCAAUACUGACGCUCAUGCACGAAAGCGUGGGAAGCAAACAGG
rnacentral:rRNA from 1 species